GUUAGGAAUAUUGGACAAUGGGCGAAAGCCUGAUCCAGCCAUGCCGCGUGAACGAUGAAGGCCUUCGGGUUGUAAAGUUCUUUAGCCGAUGAUUAUAAUGACUGUAGUCGGAAAAUAAGCCCCGGCUAACUUCGUGCCAGCAGCCGCGGUAAUACGAAGGGGGCGAGCGUUAUUCGGAAUCACUGGGCGUAAAGCGUGCGUAGGCGGUUUUGUAAGUUAGGAGUGCAAGCCCAGGGCUCAACCUUGGAAUUGCUAUUAAAACUGCAAGGCUCGAAUCUCGGAGAGGAUAGCAGAAUUUCCAGUGUAGCAGUGAAAUGCGUAGAUAUUGGAAGGAACACCAGUGGCGUAAGCGGCUAUCUGGACGAGUAUUGACGCUGAGGCACGAAAGCGUGGGGAUCAAACAGGAUUAGAAACCCCUGUAGUCC
rnacentral:rRNA from 1 species